rnacentral:rRNA from 1 species
GCACUCCCGGGGCGUCUCUAUCUCAUUGCGAGAGGAGGCGCACCCAGAGCGCACACGCUGAUACCCGAAAGAUGGUGAACUAUGCCUGGCCAGGACGAAGCCAGGGGAAACCCUGGUGGAGGUCCGCAGCGAUUCUGACGUGCAAAUCGAUCGUCGGAGCUGGGUUUAGGGGCGAAAGACCAAUCGAACCAUCUAGUAGCUGGUUCCCUCUGAAGUUUCCCUCAGGAUAGCUUGCGCUCGAACCGAAACGAGUCUCAUCCGGUAGAGCGAAUGAUUAGAGGCCUUGGGGUCGAAACGACCUCAACCUAUUCUCAAACUCCAAAUAGAUGAGAACCCCGGCUUUCUUGAACGUAGUUUAUGAAGCCGGGGGCUUGGAUCAGAGUGCCAAGUGGGCCAAUUUUGGUAAGCAGAACUGGCGCUGUGGGAUGAACCAAACGCGGAGUUAAGGCGCCUCAAUCGACGCUCAUGUGAAACCAUGAAAGGCGUUGGUUGCUUAAGACAGCAG